rnacentral:rRNA from 1 species
UACGUAUGGAGCAAGCGUUAUCCGGAUUUACUGGGUGUAAAGGGCGCGUAGGCGGGACUGCAAGUCAGAUGUGAAAUCUGGUGGCUCAACCACCAAACUGCAUUUGAAACUGUGGUUCUUGAGUGAUGGAGAGGCAAGUGGAAUUCCUAGUGUAGCGGUGAAAUGCGUAGAUAUUAGGAGGAACACCAGUGGCGAAGGCGACUUGCUGGACAUUAACUGACGCUGAGGCGCGAAAGCGUGGGGAGCAAACAGG